CAGUCGCCGCGGGAAUACGAAGGGGGCUAGCGUUGUUCGGAUUUACUGGGCGUAAAGCGCACGUAGGCGGACUUUUAAGUCAGGGGUGAAAUCCCGGGGCUCAACCCCGGAACUGCCUUUGAUACUGGGAGUCUUGAGUUCGAGAGAGGUGAGUGGAAUUGCGAGUGUAGAGGUGAAAUUCGUAGAUAUUCGCAGGAACACCAGUGGCGAAGGCGGCUCACUGGCUCGAUACUGACGCUGAGGUGCGAAAGCGUGGGGAGCAAACAGGAUUAGAUACCCCUGUAGUCCCUGUCUCUUAUAC
rnacentral:rRNA from 1 species